rnacentral:lncRNA from 1 species
GGCAGCCGAGGAGAUGGAGAUCAAGAGGAGCUGGAGAUGGAGAUCAAGAGAAGCUGGAGAUGGUCGGCCACGCGCGACUUAAGCGACGAGGGCGGCUCUGGUGCCGACGGUGUGGAAGAAAGAAAAGAAGGAAGAAAGAAAAGAUGAGGCAUGUCGCCUGCCGCCGAGGUUGCGGAAGGUCGCAAGGCAGCAGCGGAUUGGUUUGUGAGAUUGAAGUUGCAGAUCUUAACUUGUUCAUUCAUGACUGAUGUCGGACGGCAGCUGAGGCGAUGAAGAGGAGCUAGAGAUGGCCGGCCACGCGCGACGUAGGCGACGAGGCCAGGAUGGAUGUACGUAUCCGAUUGUAAUAAAUAUAUCAUCAGAGUAUAUCAAACUCAUGCCAUCGCCGAGAGUAGUUCAGACCAAUGUUUUAAAUAGCGGGCUACGGCAAAUAGCGGCGAGCCUUUUAAUCAGCUAUAGCGGGCUAUAGCAGCGGCAUAUUUAUACAUGAUACCAUCUAGCGGCACGCUGCUGAAAAGGCUAUAGCGAGGCUAUAGCGGGGCUAUAACGGGGCUAUAACGGGCUAUUUAAAACUAUGGUUCAGACCCAGUUAAUUAGCCGAGACCAGGUGAGACACUCGUGGACCGUAUCCAGAUCGAUUUCAAGCAGCACUUCUGCAGAAGUACAUAGAUAGGUUGUAGUACUAUGUAAUUACAGUGAUUCAGUUACAAAUCGUACUACUAGAUGGCAAGUAAGUAAUAAAAUAACAAAGCUGCUCCGAUCCAGUUGAUUAUCCAGACUAGAUCUCCGUCGGCGGUUCGGUGCCAAACACCUUGAGGUACGCCUUCCUGUGAGCUUCACGCAUCAUCCUGUUGCUGUCUUUUCGGAAGUUGUCUGGGAUCUCGACGUAGCCCUUCUCCUCAAACUCAUCCCUGAUCUCUUGCUGGUACCGGGAGAGUUCAUCAUUCAACCGGUUGAAGAAGCCGGCGGCCUUGUUAUUCUUCCGACUGUAGGCUCACGUUUUUCCCAGGACAGGAUGUCCAUCACCUCCUCUUCGGACAUCAUGUUCUUCGCCGGAGGAAGAGGGCCCUUCUUGCUCUUGCCAUGGCCCCCCUGCGAACCGGCCUUCGGAAACCGCUUCUCUCGACCAUGACGCCCUGCCAUGACCACCGCCUCCUUCUCCUGCCUUAGCAGACCCCUUCUGUCGAUCACGACGCGACGGCUUUGGCUUCGCAGCCUUGGAAACCACCGUCGCUCCACAACGAUGCGUCGGCUUGGG